rnacentral:rRNA from 1 species
UACGUAGGGUGCGAGCGUUGUCCGGAAUUAUUGGGCGUAAAGAGCUCGUAGGCGGUGUGUCACGUCGGCCUGAAAACCUGCAGCUUAACUGUGGGCGUGCGGUCGAUACGGGCAUCACUGGAGUUCGGCAGGGGAGACUGGAAUUCCUGGUGUAGCGGUGAAAUGCGCAGAUAUCAGGAGGAACACCGGUGGCGAAGGCGGGUCUCUGGGCCGAUACUGACGCUGGAGGAGCGAAAGCGUGGGGAGCAAACGG